rnacentral:rRNA from 1 species
GAUGAACGCUGGCGGCAUGCCUAAGACAUGCAAGUCGAACGAGGGGACCCAAGGAUGAUUAUGGAAAGUUGGAGUGCUUGCACAAAGACCGGAAAUAGUUUGAUCUGGAUUUUCCCCUAGUGGCAAACGGGUGAGUAACACGUGGGUUACCUACCUCUAAGUUGGGGAUAACAGUUGGAAACGAUUGCUAAUACCGAAUGUACUCUACGGAGUAAAGGAGCUUUAAAGCUUCGCUUAGAGAUGGGCCUGCGGUGUAUUAGCUAGUUGGUGAGGUAAUGGCCCACCAAGGCUGCGAUACAUAGCCGAACUGAGAGGUUAAUCGGCCACGAUUGGGACUGAGACACGGCCCAAAACGUCCCUAACGGGAGACAGCAGUUAGGAAUA